GCGAAGUUGGACCAAUGGAGGUCGCUGAACAUCCUGUUUGGAAACGCAGGUUCAAACCCUGCACUUCGCUCCA
rnacentral:tRNA from 1 species